UACGAAGGGGGCUAGCGUUGCUCGGAAUCACUGGGCGUAAAGAGCGUGUAGGCGGCUUUACAGGUCCGUUGUGAAAUCUCGAGGCUCAACUUCGAGCUGUCGGUGGAAACUGUCUGGCUAGAGUCCGGAAGAGGAGAAUGGAAUUCCUGGUGUAGCGGUGAAAUGCGCAGAUAUCAGGAAGAACACCCGUGGCGAAGGCGGUUCUCUGGGACGGUACUGACGCUGAGACGCGAAAGCGUGGGGAGCGAACAGG
rnacentral:rRNA from 1 species